GUGGGGAAUCUUCCGCAAUGGACGAAAGUCUGACGGAGCGACGCCGCGUGAGUGAAGAAGGCCUUCGGGUCGUAAAGCUCUGUCAUCAGGGACGAACGGCCGGUGGAGUGGAAAGCCACCGGAUUGACGGUACCUGAGAAGGAAGCCACGGCUAACUACGUGCCAGCAGCCGCGGUAAUACGUAGGUGGCAAGCGUUGUCCGGAAUUAUUGGGCGUAAAGCGCGCGCAGGUGGGAUCUUAAGUCCAUUUUUAAAGUUCGGAGCUCAACUCCGUGAUGGGAUGGAAACUGGGAUUCUUGAGUACCGGAGAGGAAAGCGGAAUUCCCCGUGUAGCGGUGAAAUGCGUAGAUAUGGGGAGGAACACCAGUGGCGAAGGCGGCUUUCUGGACGGUGUCUGACACUGAGGCGCGAAAGCUAGGGGAGCGAACGGGAUUAGAAACCCUAGUAGUCC
rnacentral:rRNA from 1 species